rfam:Camelus ferus unplaced genomic scaffold scaffold1721, whole genome shotgun sequence.
GAGGGUAUAGCUCAAGUGGUAGAGCGCAUGUUUAGCAUGCAUGAAGUCUUGGGUUCAAUCCCCAGUACCUCCU